UCUUGCGCUAUACACCAUCGAUGUUCCCGCGCGUUAGCAGAUGAUGUUAACGGUCACAUGCCAUGAUACGUAGCGACUGGAGGGUAAUCCGCACAUGGAAUUGAGACCGGCCAAACUCUACCGGAGCAGCAGUAGGAUCUCACAAUGGACGAAAGUCUGAUGGAGCACGCGCGUGAGUGAAGAAGGGUUUCGGCUCGUAAAACUCUGUGUAAAGAAGAACAUAUCUGAGAGUAACUGUUCAGGUAUGACGGUAUUUAACCCAGAAGCACGGCUAACUACGUGCCAGCAGCCGCGGUAAUACGUAGGUGGCAAGCGUUGUCCGGAUUUAUUGGGCGUAAAGCGAGCGCAGGCGGUUUUUUAAGUCUGAUGUGAAAGCCUUCGGCUCAACCGAAGAAGUGCAUCGGAAACUGGGAAACUUGAGUGCAGAAGAGGACAGUGGAACUCCAUGUGUAGCGGUGAAAUGCGUAGAUAUAUGGAAGAACACCAGUGGCGAAGGCGGCUGUCUGGUCUGUAACUGACGCUGAGGCUCGAAAGUAUGGGUAGCAAACAGGAUUAGAUACCCUGGUAGUCCAUACCGUAAACGAUGAAUGCUAAGUGUUGGAGGGUUUCCGCCCUUCAGUGCUGCAGCUAACGCAUUAAGCAUUCCGCCUGGGGAGUACGGCCGCAAGGCUGAAACUCAAAGGAAUUGACGGGGGCCCGCACAAGCGGUGGAGCAUGUGGUUUAAUUCGAAGCUACGCGAAGAACCUUACCAGGUCUUGACAUACUAUGCAAAUCUAAGAGAUUAGACGUUCCCUUCGGGGACAUGGAUACAGGUGGUGCAUGGUUGUCGUCAGCUCGUGUCGUGAGAUGUUGGGUUAAGUCCCGCAACGAGCGCAACCCUUAUUAUCAGUUGCCAGCAUUAAGUUGGGCACUCUGGUGAGACUGCCGGUGACAAACCGGAGGAAGGUGGGGAUGACGUCAAAUCAUCAUGCCCCUUAUGACCUGGGCUACACACGUGCUACAAUGGAUGGUACAACGAGUUGCGAACUCGCGAGAGUAAGCUAAUCUCUUAAAGCCAUUCUCAGUUCGGAUUGUAGGCUGCAACUCGCCUACAUGAAGUCGGAAUCGCUAGUAAUCGCGGAUCAGCAUGCCGCGGUGAAUACGUUCCCGGGCCUUGUACACACCGCCCGUCACACCAUGAGAGUUUGUAACACCCAAAGUCGGUGGGGUAACCUUUUAGGAACCAGCCGCUAAGGUGACCAGAUUGU
rnacentral:rRNA from 1 species